AGACUUCCGGGUGCUGGAUAAUUCCUGCUCUGGAAACUCACCGAGCCAUUUCAGCUGCGCUCUAGAGGAGCAAACCAGGGGGACUCUUGCCCCCCUGCUGAAGGAGACCAAAACAAUGCUUGAUCAGGAAACACCAUCUGGCUUUGCCCCCAGGACUCUGACUGCCCUGGGGAGGGCGCAGUGACCUGCCAACCAAAAUUGGGGGUUGAAGGGCAAGAUUAAGAAGGAAAGCUCCAAGAGGGAGCUGCUUUCCGACACUGCCCAUCUGAACGAGACCCACUGCGCCCACUGCCUGCAGCCCUACCGGCUGCUUGUGAAUAGCAAAAGGCAGUGCCUGGAAUGUGGCCUCUUCACCUGCAAAAGCUGUGGCCGCGUCCACCCGGAGGAGCAGGGCUGGAUCUGUGACCCCUGCCAUCUGGCCAGAGUCGUGAAGAUCGGCUCACUGGAGUGGUACUAUGAGCAUGUGAAAGCCCGCUUCAAGAGGUUCGGAAGUGCCAAGGUCAUCCGGUCCCUCCACGGGCGGCUGCAGGGUGGAGCUGGGCCUGAACCGAUAUCUGAAGAGAGAAGUGG
rnacentral:sRNA from 1 species